GUCGGCGUGCUUAACACAUGCAAGUCGAACGGAAAGGCCCUGCUUUUGUGGGGUGCUCGAGUGGCGAACGGGUGAGUAACACGUGAGUAACCUGCCCUUGACUUUGGGAUAACUUCAGGAAACUGGGGCUAAUACCGGAUAGGAGCUCCUGCUGCAUGGUGGGGGUUGGAAAGUUUCGGCGGUUGGGGAUGGACUCGCGGCUUAUCAGCUUGUUGGUGGGGUAGUGGCUUACCAAGGCUUUGACGGGUAGCCGGCCUGAGAGGGUGACCGGCCACAUUGGGACUGAGAUACGGCCCAGACUCCUACGGGAGGCAGCAGUGGGGAAUAUUGCACAAUGGGCGGAAGCCUGAUGCAGCAACGCCGCGUGCGGGAUGACGGCCUUCGGGUUGUAAACCGCUUUCGCCUGUGACGAAGCGUGAGUGACGGUAAUGGGUAAAGAAGCACCGGCUAACUACGUGCCAGCAGCCGCGGUGAUACGUAGGGUGCGAGCGUUGUCCGGAUUUAUUGGGUGUAAAGGGCUCGUAGGUGGUUGAUCGCGUCGGAAGUGUAAUCUUGGGGCUUAACCCUGAGCGUGCUUUCGAUACGGGUUGACUUGAGGAAGGUAGGGGAGAAUGGAAUUCCUGGUGGAGCGGUGGAAUGCGCAGAUAUCAGGAGGAACACCAGUGGCGAAGGCGGUUCUCUGGGCCUUUCCUGACGCUGAGGAGCGAAAGCGUGGGGAGCGAACAGGCUUAGAUACCCUGGUAGUCCACGCUGUAAACGGUGGGUACUAGGUGUGGGGUCCAUUCCACGGGUUCCGUGCCGUAGCUAACGCUUUAAGUACCCCGCCUGGGGAGUACGGCCGCAAGGCUAAAACUCAAAGGAAUUGACGGGGCCCCGCACAAGCGGCGGAGCAUGCGGAUUAAUUCGAUGCAACGCGUAGAACCUUACCUGGGUUUGACAUGGAUCGGGAGUGCUCAGAGAUGGGUGUGCCUCUUUUGGGGUCGGUUCACAGGUGGUGCAUGGCUGUCGUCAGCUCGUGUCGUGAGAUGUUGGGUUAAGUCCCGCAACGAGCGCAACCCUUGUUCACUGUUGCCAGCACGUUAUGGUGGGGACUCAGUGGAGACCGCCGGGGUCAACUCGGAGGAAGGUGGGGAUGACGUCAAGUCAUCAUGCCCCUUAUGUCCAGGGCUUCACGCAUGCUACAAUGGCUGGUACAGAGAGUGGCGAGCCUGUGAGGGUGAGCGAAUCUCGGAAAGCCGGUCUCAGUUCGGAUUGGGGUCUGCAACUCGACCUCAUGAAGUCGGAGUCGCUAGUAAUCGCAGAUCAGCAACGCUGCGGUGAAUACGUUCCCGGGGCUUGUACACACCGCCCGUCAAGUCAUGAAAGUUGGUAACACCCGAAGCCGGUGGCCUAACCGAUGUGGGGGAGCCGUCGAAGGUGGGACUGGUGAUUAG
rnacentral:rRNA from 1 species